GACGAACGCUGGCGGCGUGCUUAACACAUGCAAGUCGAACGGAAAGGCCCUGCUUUUGUGGGGUGCUCGAGUGGCGAACGGGUGAGUAACACGUGAGUAACCUGCCCUUGACUUUGGGAUAACUUCAGGAAACUGGGGCUAAUACCGGAUAGGAGCUCCUGUUGCAUGGUGGGGGUUGGAUAGUUUCGGCGGUUGGGGAUGGACUGGCGGCUUAUCAGCUUGUUGGUGGGGUAGUGGCUUACCCAGGCUUUGACGGAUAGCCGGCCUGAGAGGGUGACCGGCCACAUUGGUACUGAGAGACGGCCCAGACUCCUACGGGAGGCAGCAGUGGGGAAUAUUGCACAAUGGGCGGAAGCCGGAUGCAGAAACGCCGCGUGCGGGAUGACGGCCUUCGGGUUGUAAACCGCUUUCGCCUGUGACGAAGCGUGAGUGACGGUAAUGGGUAAAGAAGCACCGGCUAACUACGUG
rnacentral:rRNA from 1 species